CAUAUCAAUAAGCGGAGGAAAAGAAACCAACAGGGAUUGCCCUAGUAACGGCGAGUGAAGCGGCAACAGCUCAAAUUUGAAAUCUGGCUUUCGGGCCCGAGUUGUAAUUUGUAGAGGAUACUUUUGAUGCGGUGCCUUCCGAGUUCCCUGGAACGGGACGCCAUAGAGGGUGAGAGCCCCGUCUGGUUGGAUGCCAAAUCUCUGUAAAGUUCCUUCGACGAGUCGAGUAGUUUGGGAAUGCUGCUCUAAAUGGGAGGUAUAUGUCUUCUAAAGCUAAAUAUUGGCCAGAGACCGAUAGCGCACAAGUAGAGUGAUCGAAAGAUGAAAAGCACUUUGAAAAGAGAGUUAAAAAGUACGUGAAAUUGUUGAAAGGGAAGCGUUUAUGACCAGACUUGGACUUGGUUAAUCAUCUGGGGUUCUCCCCAGUGCACUUUUCCAGUUCAGGCCAGCAUCAGUUUUCGCCGGGGGAUAAAGGCUUCGGGAAUGUAGCUCUCUUCGGGGAGUGUUAUAGCCCGUUGUGUAAUACCCUGGUGGAGACUGAGGUUCGCGCUUCUGCAAGGAUGCUGGCGUAAUGGUCAUCAACGACCCGUCUUGAAACACGGACCAAGGAGUCGUCUUCGUAUGCGAGUGUUCGGGUGUCAAACCCCUACGCGUAAUGAAAGUGAACGCAGGUGAGAGCUUCGGCGCAUCAUCGACCGAUCCUGAUGUUCUCGGAUGGAUUUGAGUAAGAGCAUACGGGGCCGGACCCGAAAGAAGGUGAACUAUGCCUGUAUAGGGUGAAGCCAGAGGAAACUCUGGUGGAGGCUCGCAGCGGUUCUGACGUGCAAAUCGAUCGUCAAAUAUGGGCAUGGGGGCGAAAGACUAAUCGAACCUUCUAGUAGCUGG
rnacentral:rRNA from 1 species